CCCAUGUUUGCAUCUUUUUUACAAUUUCUUUAAAGGUUGGCUCAGUGGGUGACAUUUGCUGUCUACCUUGGAGGUCAGCAAGCUGUACUAUCACGUGACAAAUGGCCUCUGAAAAACUCAGCCGGAAAGGUCUGCUUUGACCUUCACUCUCAGGAAAGGUCCAACAGACAGCUUCCUAGUGUUUCCAGUUAGUUUUGAGAUCACAGGUGUAUCUGAGGGUGGCUUGCACUGGAAUGCCUCUCCUGUCUCACACAGUGACUCACUUAACUGCUUUUCCUCUAGAAAGCUCGAACCUUCUUCUCCUGAGGACAACUUCCCUCGAGCACAGUUGGUCUAACAACUCUGAAAGGUUUAACACAAAGCACCAGCGACCACUGUUGCAGACAGUCCUUCCUCCUUAUUUAAGUUAUUUGUAUAAUGUGCCCCUUCAUUUUCACAGGGCCCUUUCUGAAGAUAAGCUGUGUGCGGAAAGCCUGAGCCUCAGGAUGGGAAAAGCUGGCUCACAGAGCAUGUUUAAUGCUUUCCACUGGCUUCUGAAACUCAGGGCUUCCUCGAGGACAUCCUGCUUCCCCAAGUUCCUCCCAUGAAAUACAACCUAAACAUUUCCAGCUGCAUAUUCAACAGCCAAAGGGACGUCUCCUUUCCUCAAAAAAAUGUUGCUUUUGACUUGGUGGCUGAAAGCACAACAGCUUUUGUUGAUAAAAUUCAAGGGUUGAUCACCAUUGUGACUUCACCUCCUCCCCCCCCCCCAGGGAGUGAAUGCUACAAGGCACAGGAUGGUCACUCAAGAGGUUUUCUGCCACCCUCAACCAGGCUUGCUGGGAAUGCACCAUCCCCCUGCCUCACCCUGAAUGCUGGGUGGACAGGCCCCACAAAUGCUCCGUGCCCACCUCAGACAGGUUUGUAUGUUACUAAAACAGAACUAUAGAUGUAAUUCACAAAGAUUUUUAAAUCAGGAAACCCGUUUGUUUUCAAGUUGUAAUCAACAAUUUUCCAAAGCAGGGAUUAAAAAAAUGGGAAGCUAAUCAUUCUAUGAAUGCCUUUACAAACACCAUGCUGUAGUGGCUUCUCCACUUACUGUCCAAGAUCCCUUCUCCAUGCCUAUGGAAGCUGAUCUAGAGGGAUUGUCACUCACCCCGGUGCUCUCAGCAUUUGUGACUGAGCUCAGGAGCAGUUUUCUCAUAUGUGGAAUUUAGGGGAAGAGGACAGUAAGAGGGGAAGUGUCCGUGGUGUGGUCGGAAGGUGAGGGAGGGAAUUGGGGUAAGGGAGGGGUGGGGUAAAGAUGAUCAAGGUGCCCUACAUACAGGUAUGGAAACACAGAUUUAACCAUAUACUCACAGACACACACACACACACACACACACACACACACACACACACACACACACACACGGGAAGCACCAGCAAGGGGUGGGAGGGUGGUGUAGCAGGGAUUAGUACAGCACUAUCCUUGCCCUGUCUCUGGCUGGGAUCCCAUCCCUAACCUCUGGGCAGCUUCCUCACCCUCUGCUGAUCCUUUAGCCACAGGGCUAGAAGCACCUAUUCACUACAGAGUGGUGUGCUGUCCCACGGGGGCCCACAGCAAUAAUCUCUUCCAGAGACCAAGCAGGUUUUUAGUUUAUUAAUAUAUUUUUUAAAAAAAGAGGGUGAACACAAAACAAUGACACGAAAGUUCACAAGUGCAGUGGUAACAGUUACGUUAAGUCACAGAGCACAGGACAGGGAGUCAAUGAUUUAGAUAAAUCAACACAGGAACAGAGUUAACCAGACAACUAGGGGAGUUUCAUGGAAGCUAUUCUACAGUAUUGGGAAAUACUUUGUUUUCUUAAAUACUUUCUAGUCUUAUCUGCUUAAAAUGCCAACAUAUUUUUUUAACC